rnacentral:rRNA from 1 species
GGAAUAUUGCACAAUGGGCGCAAGCCUGAUGCAGCAACGCCGCGUGAGGGACGACGGCCUUCGGGUUGUAAACCUCUUUUAGUAGGGAAGAAGCGAAAGUGACGGUACCUGCAGAAAAAGCACCGGCUAACUACGUGCCAGCAGCCGCGGUAAUACGUAGGGUGCAAGCGUUGUCCGGAAUUAUUGGGCGUAAAGAGCUCGUAGGCGGUUUGUCGCGUCUGCUGUGAAAUCUGGGGGCUCAACCCCCAGCCUGCAGUGGGUACGGGCAGACUAGAGUGCGGUAGGGGAGAUUGGAAUUCCUGGUGUAGCGGUGGAAUGCGCAGAUAUCAGGAGGAACACCGAUGGCGAAGGCAGAUCUCUGGGCCGUAACUGACGCUGAGGAGCGAAAGCAUGGGGAGCGAACA